ensembl:lncRNA
GUAUGUGUGUGUGUGCGUGUGUAAAUGUGUGUGUGUGUGUGUGUGUGUGUGUGUGUGUGCGCGCACCCCUGCUGUUAAACUAGUGAGUGUGUAGGUGUGUUCCUGGAGGUUGGACAGACCAUGCCCAGUAUUGUACUGUUGGAAGUGAAGCUUCCGUUUGGCAGUGUGUGUGUGUGUGUGUGUGUUUGGGACCUUACCACUCCUGCAGAGUCCUUGUCCGGCUCUUGCUGAUGGCUGCUGUGUGUGUGUGUGUGUGUGUGUGUGUGUGUUUGUGAUUACUGUGUCACAGAGGUGUGUGUGUUGUGUGUGUGUGUGUGUGUGUGUGUGUGAUUACUGUGUCACAGAGGUGUGUGUGUGUGUGAUUACUGCGUCACAGAGGUGUGUGUGUGUGUUUGUGAUUACUGUGUCACAGAGGUGUGUGUGUGUGUGUGUGUGUGUGUGUGUGUGUGUGUGAUUACUGUGUCACAGAGGUGUGUGUGUGUGUG